rnacentral:rRNA from 1 species
CCCUUAGAUGUUCGGGGCCGCACGCGCGCUACACUGAAGGAAUCAGCGUGCCGUCGUCCUGGCCCGGAAGGGCCGGGCAACCCGUUGAACCUCCUUCGUGCUAGGGAUCGGGGCUUGCAAUUCUUGCCCGUGAACGAGGAAUUCCCAGUAAGCGCGAGUCAUCAGCUCGUGUUGAUUACGUCCCUGCCCUUUGUACACACCGCCCGUCGCACCUACCGAUUGGAUGGUCCGGUGAAGCCUCGGGAUUGUGGUUCUUGCCGCUUUAUUGUGGCGUGACCGCGAGAACUUGUCUAAACCUUAUCAUCUAGAGGAAGGUGAAGUCGUAACA